AGGGUGUAUACAGGGUGUACUGGUAGAGCAAGGCAGGCUAGUAUACAGGGUGUACUGGUAGAGCAAGGCAGGGUGUAUACAGGGUGUACUGGUAGAGCAAGGCAGGGUGUAUACAGGGUGUACUGGUAGAGCAAGGCAGGGUGUAUACAGGGUGUACUGGUAGAGCCAAGGCAGGGUGUAUACAGGGUGUACUGGUAGAGCAAGGCAGGCUAUAUACAGGGUGUACUGGUAGAGCAAGGCAGGGUUAUACAGGGUGUACUGGUAGAGCAAGGCAGGGUGUAUACAGGGUGUACUGGUAGAGCAAGGCAGGGUGUAUACAGGCUAUAUACAGGGUGUAUACAGGGUGUACUGGUAGAGCAAGGCAGGCUAUAUACAGGGUGUACUGGUAGAGCAAGGCAGGGUGUAUACAGGGUGUACUGGUAGAGCAAGGCAGGGUGUAUACAGGGUGUACUGGUAGAGCAAGGCAGGGUGUAUACAGGGUGUACUGGUAGAGCAAGGCAGGGUGUAUACAGGGUGUACUGGUAGAUUAAGGCAGGGUGUAUACAGGGUGUACUGGUAGAGCAAGGCAGGCUAUAUACAGGGGUGUACUGGUAGAGCAAGGCAGGGUGUAUACAGGGUGUACUGGUAGAGCAAGGCAGGGUGUAUACAGGGGUGUACUGGUAGAGCAAGGCAGGCUAUAUACAGGGUGUACUGGUAGAGCAAGGCAGGGUGUAUACAGGGUGUACUGGUAGAGCAAGGCAGGGUGUAUACAGGGUGUACUGGUAGAGCAAAGCAGGGUGUAUACAGGGUGUACUGGUAGAGCAAGGCAGGGUGUAUACAGGGUGUACUGGUAGAGCAAGGCAGGCUAUAUACAGGGUGUACUGGUAGAACAAGGCAGGGUGUAUACAGGGUGUACUGGUAGAGCAAGGCAGGGUGUAUACAGGGUGUACUGGUAGAGCAAGGCAGGGUGUAUACAGGGUGUACUGGUAGAGCAAGGCAGGGUGUAUACAGGGUGGUAGAGUCAAUGUGCAGGGUGUAUACAGGGUGGUAGAGUCAAUGUGCAGGGUGUAUACAGGGUGUACUGGUAGAGCAAGCAGGGUGUAUACAGGGUGUACUGGUAGAGCAAGGCAGGGUGUAUACAGGGUGUACUGGUAGAGCAAGGCAGGGUGUAUACAGGGUGUACUGGUAGAGCAAGGCAGGGUGUAUACAGGGUUGUACUGGUAGAGCAAGGCAGGGUGUAUACAGGGUGUACUGGUAGAGCAAGGCAGGGUGUAUACAGGGUGUACUGGUAGAGCAAGUGCAAGGGUGUAUACAGGGUGUACUGGUAGAGCAAGGCAGGGUGUAUACAGGGUGUACUGGUA
rnacentral:lncRNA from 1 species